CCUACGGGUGGCUGCAGUAGGGAAUCUUCGUCAAUGGGCGCAAGCCUGAACGAGCAAUGCCGCGUGAACGAGGAAGGUCUUCGGAUCGUAAAGUUCUGUUGAAGGGGAAAAAGAGCGGAGAGAGGAAAUGCUUUCUGAUUGAUAUUACCCUUCGAGGAAGUCACGGCUAACUACGUGCCAGCAGCCGCGGUAAUACGUAGGUGGCGAGCGUUAUCCGGAAUGAUUGGGCGAAAAGGGUGCGUAGGCGGCCUGCUAAGUCUGGAGUGAAAGGUACCGGCUCAACCGGUACAGGCUCUGGAAACUGGCGAGCUAGAGAGCAGGAGAGGGCGGUGGAACUCCAUGUGUAGCGGUAAAAUGCGUAGAUAUCACGCAGAACCCCGAUUGCGAAGGCAGCAUACCGGUGCACAACUGACGCUCAGGCACGAAAGCGUGGGUAUCGAACAGGAUUAGAUACCCGAGUAGUC
rnacentral:rRNA from 1 species